GACAGAGGUCCCGAGCGUUAGGCGGAAUCACUGGGCUUAAAGCGUGUGUAGGCGGAUCGUUAAGUGCCUUGUGAAAUCCCACGGCUUAACCGUGGAACUGCUUGGCAUACUGGCGGUCUUGAGCCACUUAGGGGCAACCGGAACAAAUGGUGGAGCGGUGAAAUGCGUAGAUAUCGUAAGGAAGACCAGUGGCGAAGGCGGGUCUCUGGACAGUUCCUGACGCUGAGGCACGAAGGUCAGGGGGAGCAAACGGG
rnacentral:rRNA from 1 species